AUUGAACGCUGGCGGCAGGCCUAACACAUGCAAGUCGAGCGGAUGAAGGGAGCUUGCUCCUGGAUUCAGCGUCGGACGGGUGAGUAAUGCCUAGGAAUCUGCCUGGUAGUGGGGGAUAACGUCCGGAAACGGGCGCUAAUACCGCAUACGUCCUGCGGGAGCAAGUGGGGGAUCUUCGGACCUCACGCUCUCAGAUGAGCCUAGGUCGGAUUAGCUAGUUGGUGGGGUAAAGGCCUACCAAGGCGACGAUCCGUAACUGGUCUGAGAGGAUGAUCAGUCACACGGGAAGUGAGACACGGUCCAGACGCCUACGAGAGGCAGCAGUGGGGAAUAUUGGACAAUGGGCGAAAGCCUGAUCCAGCCAGGCCGCGUGUGUGAAGAAGGUCUUCGGAGUGUAAAGAACUUUAAGUUGGGAGGAAGGGCAGUAAGUUAAGACCUUGCUGUUUUGACGGUACCAACAGAAUAAGCACCGGCUAACUACGUG
rnacentral:rRNA from 1 species